UUGGAGCAGCUCCCAGCCUCCCUGGGC
rnacentral:piRNA from 1 species